GCCUUCAACGUGCAUCGGUCAAAUGAUUGUUUAGGAAGUCUGUAUGAUGACGAAAAAACUGCAGGUGACUAGAAGCUGCCGAUGAGCUGCCAGUCCGGAUGGCAGCUGUCAACACUGCAAGGGCCUGCAGGCGCAUCAGCUCUCCUCCCGUUCCUCUACUGCCAUUGGAGACAUGAUGCUUUGUAAAAAGUGGGAGCUCAUGAAGGUGGCACUGUGCACAGAGGGAC